UGCCAGCAGCCGCGGUAAUACGGGGGUGCAAGCGUUAAUCGGAAUUACUGGGCGUAAAGCGUACGUAGGCGGAUUAAUAAGUUAGAGGUGAAAUCCCAGGGCUCAACCCUGGAACUGCCUUUAAAACUUUUCAGCUAGAGUAUGAUAGAGGAAAGCAGAAUUUCUAGUGUAGAGGUGAAAUUCGUAGAUAUUAGAAAGAAUACCAAUUGCGAAGGCAGCUUUCUGGAUCAUUACUGACACUGAGGAACGAAAGCAUGGGUAGCGAAGAGGAUUAGAUA
rnacentral:rRNA from 1 species